AUCAAAAUACGUUAUUUUGACAGAUCACCAUGGCAACGGAGUUACAAAGCUAAGAUGUUUUCUAUAUUCUUCGGACACCUCCUCUCUUCUUAAUGGCGAAAAUGCAGGACUUUGAAUGUUUUCAAUUAAGUUUCUAUGUCUAAUAAAAUAUAUAUAAUAUUUA
rnacentral:lncRNA from 1 species